rnacentral:rRNA from 1 species
GAUGAACGCUGGCGGUGUGCCUAACACAUGCAAGUCGAGCGGCCGGACGUUAAGCUUGCGCCCCUGCUGGUAGCGGCUGACGGGUGAGUGACGCGUGGAUAACCUUCCUCUAUUUCUUGGAUAAUUUCGGGAAACCACAUCCACUACUGCAUAAUACUACGUACUGUUUGGUUCAGGAGUUCAUGACACCUUGGCUGUCUCCUUUAGAUGGAGACGAGGUGCAUUAGCUAUGUGGUAAGGUAAAGGCAUACCAAGGCAACGAUGCAUAGCUGACCUGAGAGGGUGAUCGGCCACACUGGAACUGAGACACGGUCCAGACUCCUACGGGAGGCAGCAGUAGGGAAUAUUGGGCAAUGGGCGCAAGCCUGACGGAGCAAUGCCGCGUGAGUGAUGAAGGUCUUCGGAUCGUAAAACUCUAUUAUUAGGAAAGAAAAGCUGUGUAUGAAAAUGCCGCUAUCCUGACGGUACCUAAUGAGAAAGCCACGGCUAACUUCGUG